rnacentral:lncRNA from 1 species
CUAACUUAAGUGGGCCUACCGGCGAAGCAACUGGUACUUGAGCGGGCGGUUUGGUUUCCCCUCGCAGCAGGAAGAGGCAGUUGUCAUUUGAAAGGAAACGCCCCUUGUAUAGGGUUCCAAACCUGCGCACCGUGAUAAAAAAAACGCCCUAUAUAUUCUAUUAGUAAAGCCUAAACGUCCUUCUAAAGCGCUAGCGCGCCUUAUAUUAUUUAGUAAAGCAACCUUUUGCCUUUAUUGAUAUAAUAUAAAACAAGCUGACUUACUAAUAAAGCGGCAACAAGCACCUUCUUUCUCAAAAAAGGUAAAGUUUCGCGCUUGUUGCUUUAGAAAAAUUGCAGCGUUAGCGCUUUACCUUUACUAAUACUAAUAUAUAUAUAAUCAAUUGAGGGCUCUUCUCCUUUUUCUUACGAAUCUACAACUCUCUUUACUGAGCGAGACUCCAUCCACCAUGGUUCUUUUUAUUAAUUUUCUAUUCUAUCAUUGUUUGACAGCUUAAACUAGGCUCCAUUUUUGUAGAGUUUUCGGUCUUAAUCAAGAUAGGUCAGGGGUGCGUCAGAACGGUCGGUGGCUGCUUAGUCUCAUCCGAGAAUUCAUUCCUUUGUACUGCUUUUUUCUAAAGAAAAAAAAGAAAGGAAGGGGUUCGAUUUAGGCUCCUUCCCUUACACUGCAUAGCUGCGCUAGCAGGUACUACGAGCCCUCUGUCCCGCGCAUCUAACCAGCUCGCGUGGUUCACCGGUUCCACCGAAAACUCUCAUUUGUUGAAGCGGAGCACAGUGCGCUUUAGGCGCCGAGCGAGAAACGUCUCUUCCGGUUUAUUCACUGAUCUGAAACUUAGCACUUGUUUUAUUAGGGCGGCGGCGCUCUUGAAUGAAGUCUAUCCGAACCUAAUUAGCACUUCUCAGAUCAGGAUCAGGCUAGGCCUCUCCGGCUGAGCUGGGCGCCGGGGCCCUGGAUGCGCUAGCGAUCGGCACAUAGGGGAGUGGUUGCCCGGGUUUCUCGGCCUGGUC